UACGUAGGGGGCAAGCGUUGUUCGGAAUUACUGGGCGUAAAGGGCGCGUAGGCGGCACAGCAAGUCGGGAGUGAAAGCCCGGGGCUCAACCCCGGAACUGCUUUCGAAACUGCUGAGCUAGAGUACAGAAGGGGCAACCGGAAUUCCCAGUGUAGCGGUGAAAUGCGUAGAUAUUGGGAAGAACACCCGAGGCGAAGGCGGGUUGCUGGGCUGAUACUGACGCUGAGGCGCGAAAGCCAGGGGAGCAAACGGG
rnacentral:rRNA from 1 species